AACGAACGCUGGCGGCAUGCCUAACACAUGCAAGUCGAACGAGACCUUCGGGUCUAGUGGCGCACGGGUGCGUAACGCGUGGGAACCUGCCCUUAGGUUCGGAAUAACUCCCCGAAAGGGGUGCUAAUACCGGAUAAUGUCUUCGGACCAAAGAUUUAUCGCCUUUGGAUGGGCCCGCGUUGGAUUAGCUAGUUGGUAGGGUAAAAGCCUACCAAGGCGACGAUCCAUAGCUGGUCUGAGAGGAUGAUCAGCCACACUGGGACUGAGACACGGCCCAGACUCCUACGGGAGGCAGCAGUGGGGAAUAUUGGACAAUGGGCGAAAGCCUGAUCCAGCAAGGCCGCGUGAGUGAUGAAGGCCUUAGGGUUGUAAAGCUCUUUUACCCGGGAUGAUAAUAACAGUACCGGGAGAAUAAGCUCCGGCUAACUCCGU
rnacentral:rRNA from 1 species